UAGGUAGGCUCACCAGGCGACGAUCCCUAGCUGGUCUGAGAGGAUGACCAGCCACACUGGAACUGAGACACGGUCCAGACUCCUACGGGAGGCAGCAUG
rnacentral:rRNA from 1 species